GACGUAGGGCGCGAGCGUUGUCCGGAUUUAUUGGGCGUAAAGAGCUCGUAGGCGGCUUGUCGCGUCGAAUGUGAAAACCCACGGCUCAACUGUGGGCUUGCAUUCGAUACGGGCAGACUAGAGUGCUGUAGGGGAGACUGGAAUUCCUGGUGUAGCGGUGGAAUGCGCAGAUAUCAGGAAGAACACCCGUGGCGAAGGCGGCUCUCUGGAACGCAACUGACGCUGAGACGCGAAAGCGUGGGGAGCAAACAGG
rnacentral:rRNA from 1 species